UGAUGCUUCCGCUAGACACGGUAAAUCACGGAGGACAUUUGAAUAAGCCGAGAGCAAUGAAUGCGAGUUUGAUGGCCCUGAAGCAAGCAGGGGUUGAAGGAGUUAUGGUGGAUGUGUGGUGGGGAUUGGUGGAGGUGGACGGACCUUCCAAGUACAACUGGGAAGGGUAUGCCGAGCUUGUGCAGAUGGUGCAAAAGCACGGCAUGAAGAUCCAAGUCGUCAUGUCUUUUCAUCAGUGCGGAGGAAAUGUUGGAGACUCAUGCAGGUGUGUUUGGUGGUUCUAAUUGCAGUAUAUUAUGUUUAAUGUUCUCUAUAACUUACACAACACGAACAGCCAUGCUAUUGGAUUUUUAAUGGAACCCUUGACAUGCUUAACAUAAAAGUGCUUAUGAGCAAAAAGUGCUUUCUAUGUUUUUGCCCAGAGUUUGAUCUAACUCCACCUAGUGUGGAUUUAUGCAGCGAUUCACUAAAGCACAAAUUUUAUGAAUUUUCAGCAUUCCUUUACCUCCAUGGGUGCUUGAAGAAGUCAGCAAGAACCCUGACCUUGUUUACACAGACAAAUCAGGCAGGAGGAAUCCCGAGUACAUAUCCUUGGGAUGUGAUUCAUUGCCUGUUCUCGGAGGAAGAACUCCUAUUCAGGUCUACACCGAUUACAUGAGGAGCUUCCACGACAGAUUCAUUGACUACUUGGGCGACGUUAUUGUGGUAAUUAUCUGCAACAAAAAUGUUAACUCAACUUUAUGCUAUUAUUUUUGUAGUAGAAAUUCAAAAGUUCAAAAAACUAGACAUAAAGAUUUUUGCCGGUGUCCGACUGGAAAAAUAAAAAAAGAUUUUCAAACAGAAGAAAACUAAUUUGGGCUAGGACAAACUGGCAUCAUUCGACGAAUGUCAACAUUCGUCUCAAAUUACAACGGACUUGUUUCAAAUUUCGAAACUCAAUUCCAAUUACUUGUACAGGAAAUUCAAGUAGGCAUGGGUCCUUGUGGGGAGCUCAGAUAUCCAGCUUAUCCAGAAAGCAACGGAACUUGGAGGUUUCCUGGAAUCGGGGAAUUCCAAUGUUAUGACAAGGUAAUUAUUCUAAACAGAAGCCCUUAUUCCAUUUCUGCUGGCCAAUUAAAUUACCCUAAACCGAACCACAUCAUAUUUCGAUAAUUUAUUUUUGUGAUAUUCCUUAUUCCUAAACAAGUUUUUAUGUCAAGCAGUACAUGAGAGCUUCCUUGGAAGCAUCAGCAGAGGCAAUGGGGAAGAGAGAUUGGGGAAGAAGUGGACCACAUGAUUCCGGCCAGUACAAUCAAUUUCCUGAAGACACCGGAUUUUUCAAAAGAGAUGGAACAUGGAACACUGAGUAUGGACAGUUCUUCCUUGAAUGGUACUCCGGAAAGCUACUAAGACACGGAGAUAGAAUAUUGUCAGCUGCGAAAGGAGUAUUCCAAGGAUCUGGAGCUAAACUAUCCGGAAAGAUUGCUGGGAUUCACUGGCACUACGGAUCAAGAUCACAUGCGGCUGAAUUAACUGCAGGCUACUACAACACAAGACACAGAGAUGGUUACGUACCAACAGCCAGGAUGUUCAGCAAAAACAUGGUUGUAUUAAACUUCACAUGCAUGGAAAUGAAAGAUAGAGAACAGCCUGAACAUGCAAAUUGCUCACCAGAAGGUCUGGUGAGGCAGGUAAAGAUGGCGACCAAGAGUGCUGGAAUUGACCUAGCAGGAGAAAAUGCCCUGGAGAGGUAUGACACUGGUGCGUUUGCACAAGUUUUAGCAACAAGCAGAUCAGAUUCCGGCAAUGCACUAAGUGCAUUUACAUAUCUCCGAAUGAACAAGAGAUUGUUCGAGGCCGAUAACUGGAGGAACAUGGUUGAAUUUGUGAGAAGCAUGGCAGAAGGUGGCCGGAACAGAAGUCUUUCAGAGUGCGACUCUACCGGAAGCGACCUCUUUGUUCGUUUUAUCAAAGAGAAGAAAGUCGAGAAAACCAAGGAAACUGUUCUUGUGUAAAGAUGCUAGAAAUUAUUUGUUUCAUUAUUUUGUUCCAUCACAAGCUUUUGUAGGGUGUGAUCUCACCUAUAUGAUGGUUCAGUCUUUUAAAUAGGAUGAAAUAUAUGGUGGAAACCUCUUCAUGGUCAUGUCCUGGCUUCUUCAACUAGAAUGCACCUUCAUUGUGAAGCAACUUGGUUUUGACAGUAAGUUUUAUGGAAUUAAGCUCUAAUCCAACCUUUGAUUUAUCGAAAAGUUAAGUCGAGUUUGCUAACUCUUUUAACUAAUUUUUUUGGUAAAUCAACGACCGGCUAGAGUUUACCUCCAAAUCUGCGGUCAGGUACUAGAUAUUCACAACUCAGGUGUAUUCAAUGUCUGUUUCAAUCCUCAAAUAGCAUCUUUUGAAAAAGAAGAAAAAAAUAACCAAAAGCAAAAAUAAUAUAGCCGUUAAAUCGUGUUGUUAAGUUUGUACAACCUUUCUACUCUAAAAAAUAUUUUCUUUUAUUUUACUCUUAAUUUUUUAUAAAAUUGUUAUCACAUAUUUACAAAUUUAAUUUACAAUUUGCGUAGAUUUGCAUAAAUGAGGAUAAUUAGAUUGACUUUUAAGGUUUUUAAUUAGGACAUAUGCCACUUGUAAGAGGUCUUAAGUUCGAUUCUAGCCAAACGUGAAUUUGAACAACAUUAUUGCUAGCCUAUUAUGAGUCUAACAUCAUCCCCUCCCCUUUAUUGCUAGCCUAUUCGGAAAUUAGGUUCAAGAAUCAAGAAUGCUUACAUCAUGCGUGUGAUGAACGCAAUACUGCCCAACUUAUGCUCUGAUACCAAACUGACACAUCCCGACUCAGAUUGUCCAUUAUGACUCCGAAUCGAGUGGUGCUGGCCGACACCUGGAAGGUAACGAAACCAUAAAGUGUAAUGGUGUGGAAUAUGUGAAUAAAUUUAAACCUAAAAAUGCCUAAAUAUGAGAGCGCUAUGAGCGGAAAUGAACUCAUUUCACACAUGAUGUCAGAGCAUAAGUAAAGUACAGUAGAAUGGAUUGAGAAUCAUAUCAUUGAAGGUAAUCUCCAAUGCCAAGAUUUACCACGAAUCCUCGUUGAUAAGAAAGCUCAGCUAUUAAACCUGGAGGGGUGAAAACAAAACAAGGGUGAGUGGGCCUGAAAAUAAAUUGUUAAUAAAGACCUUCUAAAAUGUUAUAACCCCUCGCUGUAAAACCUGUAUAGUUUCUAGAAAAUUAUACCAUGUAUAAGCAUGAAAUCAAAUGUAAAUCAAUAGUAAAUCCGUAAAUAUUCCAAAUCAUUACAUAUCAGUAGCAACAUAAUAAAAUCAGGUGCUCAUCAAUCUAUGCUGACACAUGAGUCGGAGUUGCCUAAUGCAACCUGUACGACUCAUACGCAACCUAUAUGACAGUGCCGGAGUCGCCUAUUAUUGCAGUCUGUACGAUAGUGGCAGAGUUGCCUAUAACACAAAUCUAGUCAUGUCAUAACUCAAUCAUUUUAAAUAACACAAUAAACUCACAUAAACUUACCUGCAUGUCCCUCUUUCACCUUAGCCCUUCAAAGCAUUCACAGUAAUUGUAUGUAGGUAAUAUGCAUAUGGAUAUGCCAUGAUGCAAUCUAAAACUCAACCAUAUCAUAGUAUUUUAGAAUAUAUAAAUAUAUAUGACAUGGCAUAAAAUGCAUAAAUCAAUUUAAAAGCACGUGUGGAAUUAUCAAUCAUAUAUAUAUAUAUAUAUAUAUACGAUAAAAAGGAAAAGACCCACUCACCUGAGAUCCGCGCUACGACUCCCUAGCACGAAUAUCGAGACAUCACGAACCAUUGUCGCCUAUAACAAUUAUCAAAUCACAUCUCAGAGUUCUUAUCGAUAGAACACGUAACUUACAUAAAACAUAUCCCCAAGGACGUUCUAGAAUGAUUUGUAACUCAUUGACCAAAAGUUAAUCGUUGAUCAAAGGUAGGGUCCAUAACCCUACAUAACUCAAUCCAGAAGAUCUGCACCUUUCCAAUCUGUAACUUCCAGAGAUCCACAUGAUGCUUCUAGAAUAACAUACUAAAAUCAUACCACGAUUCGACGGUCGGAUCUCCGCCAAUUGCCAAAAUGAAGUGACGGCUGACGUUUUAUUUUAUGAACUUACAAAUCCAAUUCGGGAAGAUUCGUACGUCUGAUUCCCAAUCCGUAAGUUCCUAAUAUCCUCAAAUAUUACUUACUAUAAUGUAUUAAAGUUUGAUGACAAUCCAACGGUCGGAUCGUUGAUUCAUAUUAUGAUGAAGUAGCGGUCUCUAUCAAAACUAUGAUCAACCGAUGAAAUUUUAUCAAUCGGACUUCUCAAAGGGAAUUAGGGUAUUAAAUUCAGCCUAGGAAAGUUAGGAGUGCCUUGCCCACCCGCCUCGGCCACGCGCCACCGCAGACAACUGCUGGCCGUCUUGACUCGCCGGUAAAAUCAACUUUUUCUAAAAAAUCUCAAAUUCAUAAAUGAAGAUCUCAAUGAGUAGAUCAAGUUUUAUACCUGUGGUCAAGUCCAAUUUGACCGGGAAAAGCUCCAAAUCAUCGUGAACCCGUCGGAACCCUAGAAUUUAGGUGUUUUUGUUUCGUCCUCAAAUUAACUCCGAUGAUCCAACCACUGAUUGGGCUUUGUUCUUUACCUUUUAAGGAGUGUUUUGGUGGUGAUAAUUGAAGAGAAAUGCUUCAGAAAUGGCGGAUUCCGUCGUGGCAACCUUCGGAACCCCCACGGGUUUGAUGGCUCAAUUCCCCUCAAAUUGAAGGUUAAAGGAACUGAGUUUUGCAUGGAAAUGAAAAAGGGAAGGAUGAUGAUUCAUUUUCAGGUGGUGGUGAGGUUCGAGUCGCUGGAAAAUCGACUAAAAAAUGAUGGAAAAACCUCUGGGUCGAGUGAGUCUGAUGGGGGAGAAACGGGUCAAGGAGAUCUGGCGCAUCUCUUUUCCCUCAUUUCCCCUCCUUGCUAUCUUCUCUGGUUGGUCCCUCACUUCUCUCAUCUUCCUGAUUGGGCAGCAACCCUCUCAGCUUCCUCAUUCGAUUGGGCAGCAGCCCUCCCUUUCUCCUCAGUUUCUUCUUUUCCUCGUUUCCUUUCUUUUCCCCCACUCAGCCACCCACAUGUGGCCUAAUAAUUUAGUACUAUAAAAUAAUAUAAAUAAUUAAAAUAGUUAUUUCUUCAUAAUAGUUUCGGGUUCGUAGCUCCGUAAAACUCCAUAACUCCAAAUUCACUUCUGCUUGCGCUUACGCGUUCGUAUCGUCGAGUACUUCAAGAAUACGCUAAAAAAAUAUUUAGUACGUCUCACUAUACUGAUAGGAGCAUAUUUAUGCAACUUAGUGAGCUUGUUUCUUGGCAUUUACUUAGUUUAAUUCUAGUUAUUUUAGUACUUUAAGCUAUUUUCGUGUGUUUGUAGGUUCAAAUAACAAAGUUGGCAACAAAGUGUUAUUUGGAACAUUUUGGAGCAUUUUUGGGCCAAGAUUGGAUAGUGCAAGCAUGGAGACAUGAGGAUGGACGUUUUUGAAGAUUAGAAAGCUAGAAAUCAGCAUGUGUGUGUGCAAGUGUGUUGACCUACAACUACAAAUAUCCAUCCACUACACCCAUUACAUCCACUCAUUACCAAACAUCCAUCCACUACACCCACUACAUCCACUCAUUACCAAACACUCAUCAACUACACCCAUUACAUCCACUCAUUACCACAACAUACAUCACUACCACCUUAAUUAGAUGGUGGUCCUCUCCCUAGCCUAUAAAUACAUCCACCCUUCACCAUAACAAAAGAUCAGAAAAAAUCCAUCCAAAGACACUACAUUCACAUCUCACAACUUCAUACACUUACACUUUCAUUCCUUGGCCGUGAGCACCAUCCAUUCAUCCAUUCAUCCAUCCAUUUCCCAUAUAUCUCAAAACACAACUCCAUACACUCCCUUCCCUUGGCCGAGACAUUCACCAAUCCUAAAUACAUUCAUAACCUUUCCAUAUAUCCAUACACAUCCUUAGACAAUUGUGCUGCAACAAGGUGGUGAAGACGAAGGUCCUUGGCGUUUCAAGCAUGAAACCUUGGAGCGUUUUAGGUGUACUUUGUUCUUGCUUUCAAUGUCUACUUUGUUAUUUUCUGAUUUUGUUGCAAUUAUGAGUAACUAAACCCCUCUUAGCUAGGGGGAAUUCGAAACCAUGUUCAUGCUUGCAAUAUGAUUUGAUUACUUUCAGUUGUGAUUCAUAAGUUGUGAAUUCAAUUUACUUAUCCAUUUGAAUUAAAAUUGAUUUGUGUAUGUUGGUUGAGAGUGCACGCUUAAUUUUCAUGCAUAACUCUGAUGCGAGGAUAUAAGGGAGUUUUACCUAAUCGUUAUGAACUUAUAUUCACAAGUAGUAAAGGUUGCUCGUCACAACCGUGUUAAGUAAAUUCUUGGCAUAAGUUUCAUGCAAUUCAUAGUUACAAGUGUUUCGUCAAUGCUUAUGAUUUUCAUAGAACUUAAUGAUUCUUGCUUGUAUCUCUAUUAUGCAAUUCAUGUAGGGAACUUGUGGGGAAUGCUUUGGGUUGUUGUACGCAAGCAUCCAAUUCAAUGAAAUUAGGAAAAUCUGAGGGUUAAUUAGUGCAAUUCACAGUUAAUCUGGGGCGUUGAGAAUUCGUAGUUUAUUGAAAAGCAACUGGAAAUCGUUUUGUUUGCAAGUGUGUCAUGUGUGGAGAAGAACCUCCUAGCUAUCCUUCCAUCCAUUCAAUCUACUCAAAUUCGUGCAGAUUUCAUUAGUUAUUUAAUUUACUUGUUUUGUUUUCAAAUUCGUCAAAACCAAAACCCCCUUUACCUUGUUGAGUCAUAUUAGUUAGAAACUGAUUUAGUUUGUGUUUUUAAGUAUUUCGAAACAAGUUAAAACCAAAAUUCGUCCAAAAGUGUGUUUAGAGUCCAAAUCUGCCCAGUUUGUGUUUUUAGGCAUAUUUGAGCGUUUUUAGCUUGUUUUGAGUUUUUUGAGUUUGUUUUGAAUUCUUUGAGUCUAGUUUAGUGUUUUUAACUUUGUUUAUAUGUUUUUAAGUCAGUUUAGAGGUUAUUAGCAAACCCUCCUAAUCCCCCAUCCAGAACGAUCCCUACUUACAUUCUUUACUACAAUUGAUACAAGAGGGUUUAAUUUGUGUGUUAAAUUAAUUUUCGCAUCAUAUACGUUGGUCAAUGAAAGUCAAAACCUUCACCUCUAGGGCAUUUUCGUAAAUUCACACUUUUAAAAUUUAUAAAAUCGUAGAACUAGGUACAGGUUGUCACACAUGCAUUUUCAUUCUCAAAUUUUUUUUUCUUUAAACAUUAAUUCUUUAUUUUUUUUGGUCAAACGAUAGAUUUUGUUAGAUUAGAUGUUAGGUUAGUCAUCGACGGGGUUUGAACCCACACCGUUAUGCAAGAAUUCAACACCUUUUUCACCGCUGUGGUAAAUGACCACUUGCUUAAUUCUUUGAUUUUUAGUCAGCAUAUUAAGUUUCAUAUAUCAAACACUAUUAUAAUAAUUUUUGACCUUCUUAAAUUAUGAUAAUAUAUAUAUAGUAGAUUCUUGUCGUUCAAUGAUUUAUAAAAAUAUUAGUUAGAGACUUUCCAUCUCGACUUAGCUUUCUGGUAAAUCAUGGAUGCGAUUAGAGCUUGAUUCCGUGUAAAAGUAUAUUCUGAAGACCAAGCUUCUUUAGUAUUGAAGAUAAAUUUUAGUUGGUAUUCUUAUACUUCACUUAUCUAACUAAGGAUCAAUUUUUUCAGGAAGCUAUGACCAAACCAUGAGAAGAUCUCAACUGCGUACUAAACCCUGAUUCAAUACAUGUAUUUGAAAUUAAUUCUGCAAAAAAGGAUCGAUGAGGGGUUAGAUUGAUUCUAAUAAUAAAGGAUACAAAUUUAUUCAACAUAUUGUUUCGAAAGUGAUCCAUAAAAAUGGUCAAUGAGGAAUUGAGUUGAUGGAGCAUAUUAAUUUCUUUGAAGUUGUGUAGGUUGGGCUAUGUUAACAAACAAAAUUAUUAGGGGUAUGACUAGUAUUUUAAAAAAUUAUUUCCAUAUUUUUUGGUUGGACUUUAGGUAUUUUUGUGUUUUUAUUCUCCUUGAAAUGUAUAAAAGUAGUAGAGUUACUCAAAAUAUUGUGCAUAUUUUUAUCUCUAUAUGUAAGGCUCCCUUCUUAUAGUUUUGGUUUUUUAUUGCAAGUUAAUUUGUUGCAUGAUUCCCUACUAUGGCAUGAAAGAUCUUUUUGUGUUUGUUUGUUUCUUUUCAAGUCGGCAUUUUAAUUAUUCGACUAUUUUCAAGUCAUGUGACAAAAAAAAAAAAGUUCUGUAGUUUAUAUGGCUUGUGUUUUUACACUAUAUAUGUUGCAUAUUGUAAAUGUGAAUUUACUUAGGAAUUAGCUAAUUUCUUAGACUUGUAAUUGUGUCUUCGUUUCGUAGAUUUAGGCCUAGUUUUUAGGCAAAUUAAUUUGGGGCACAAGACUUAUCCAGAUUGAGUAGAUCAAGGGUUGACUUUGUCUACAAGGUAAUUUGCAUUUGCAUAUCAUAUUAGGAAAACUAUAUUUUUGUGAUUAAGUUUUAUUAGGAAUGAAAUUCAUAAUAAAAUCAAUUAGCAGAAUUGUUUUCUUUUUUACGUUAAAAUCAAUUCUACUUUUUCCUACUCUUUUUGGAACGUGAUUUCUCUUGAUUAAAAAAAGCAAAGCUUGAAGACCUUUGUGACUUACUUCUGCAAAAUCUGAUUUGAGAGAUUUACAUUGAGAGAAGCAAAGGUGAGUUCAUGGAAAAUUAGAAUGAUAAAGCAACUUUGUGAAGCUUUUUAUUUCUAGUUUGCAUCUUCAUAUUUCAUAGUCUAUAUUGGAAGCUGUGUGCAGUGAAAGCUACGUGCUGCAUGCUUGUUCGUGAGGAUCAUCGAUUUGAGAGAGUUCAAGCAAGGACCAUGUAAGGCAAGACAAAAGUAUUGGGUAGAUUCUUGUUUAAGAGUUUAUCUUCUUGAGUCUUGUAAUAGUCUAUUCUUAGUGGAUUUCUAGACGUUAUUCCCGGUUGGGUUUUUUCCUCGUACCAUUGGGUACAAAAAUCCUUUUGUUAAUUUACUUCUGUUGCAAGAUUAUAUUAGUUUGAUUUGGGAUUGAAAUCUUUGUCCAAUCAUAUUUCGGUUAUCUAUUUACUCGACCUGAGGCACGAUUUCACAUAUGACACUCAAGGGAGAGAGGCUAAAAGCGGUUUCAAAUAACCGAAAGUGUUUCUGUAAGAGUUAGAAACUCUAAAGAUGAUAGUUUUGAGGAGGCUAAAAUGCCUCUGAGUCUUACUGAUUUCCGAAAAGGUGGACCGCCAUAACGAAGCCACCAAUUAGUUCCAUUUUUAGUAAAGAGAAACCCUAAUAUAUGUGAAAAUUGUCCAUUUUUUUUUUUUUUAUCUCUGCUCAUUGUUUUCACUUGGUUGUGAAUUUUCAACCAAUUGCCUAUUAGUUAACAAGUUCCCUUCGGAUUUCAUUUUCCUGGUAAUUUGUUGGGGUUCUCCUCGUGAAUUGAGAUAAAGGUGAAUCGGAUAUGAGAGUGAGAACGUCGAAGAGAUAAGGUUUUCAUAAUCUCCACAAGAAUACUUAUGGUAGACUUGUUAAGUACAUGCCCACACAAAUCAUCAGAUUGAAAAAAAAAAAAUAUCGACAUCUAGAUCUUUAAGAUUCCAACUCAUUUUUUCUAUUUUGAACCAAGUGCAGAACGCCUUCGCGAUUGAAAACUAUCAUUGAGGACAUCAGAUUACUUUCUAGACCUUGACUCGUGUCUUCCGAAAGGCGAUUUUUUUUGUUGAUGUCGUUAGAACACUCCAUUCAUAAUACUUAUAUUUGGAAUGUCUCCAGAUCCAUUUAGUUUGAUUUCAUCUUACACCAUCACCAUCACUUCCGAUCUCACCUCUCUAUUAUAGUACAUCAAAUUAAACGGGUCUUAACGGGUACCCAUUAACAACUCAAUAAGUUAAGGGGUGUGCUAUCCACACACCCCUUUUUACUUCUCUCAUACCCUUUGUUAAUUUCUGUCAUUUGAUCUUCUUCAAUUCAUUUAAUUCAACGACCGAAAAUUAAAAAGAUGUGAGAGAAGUAAGAAGGGGUGUGUGGAUAUCAUACUUCUAAGUUAAUUUGCUACCUCGAGUUUGGAGCACUGCAGAUAUUAUUAUUAAUAGCCAAUAAAGUUAAUGUUUCUCAUUAAAACUUCAGUCGGCAUAUGAAAACACACGCAACAUGUAGAGGUUAUUUUGGUUAAUUUCAAAAACAGGUGGGAACUAGGAUAUAUGUACACAAAUAGAUAUACGACUCCCAUCUAUCAUCCAUGCAAACGCGGCAUUGGUCGAAAAAAGCCAAAAAUCCUGGAAUGGGGACUUCUUCCCCAAAAACAAUAAAAAAUGCGGAGUCGUUGAAGCGAUUAAGUUUGAAUACUCCAGAGUUUAGGGCUUAAUGGAAAGACAUAAAAUCCAAGACAGGAGAAAGCAGCAAAGACAUUGUUGGAAACCACAUGUUCAAUUGCUAAUGCCAUUCCCAGCAAUACUACUUCUCUUUUGUCCUAAAUCAACCAAAGCCAAGAAAACCUUUUUUUAUUUUUUAUUUUUUGAGUUGACUGAUAUUGUCGUUAAGUUAGAAAUUAAUUUGCCAUGAAGUUCGAACCCUAACUGUCAUGUAAAGACAUCGUUUAUCUCCACCAAUAUGGUAGAGAGCCACCUACUAGCCAAGAAAACUUAUAAUUCCUGAGAUAUUUUCUGAUCCACAAAAAUGCGGUGUCGUCUAACACAUAUAGACCAAACACAACCCUAGCUAGCUUGUUUGUGGGGUUUUCUCUACACUGUUCAAAACAAAACCACCCAAUGCUUAUCACGCCAAAUUAUAGAUAUAGGCCCGACGUUUCGUUUCUUUUUUCACAGAUAAACAAGCAUUUGAAAAAGAAAAAGAAGAAUAGAAUACCUACAGAUAUUCGUUCAUGCUAGCCAAUAUUUUAAAAGGCAAAGGCAGAGGUGUAGGUAAGGCGUUUAUGGAUAGCCCCGUCUAGGUUAAAGUCUUGAGGUGUAAGGCGAAGCUUUAAGGGACCUAAAUAAUUGAGGACUAUUGUGAGUAUAAUUGGGGACAACUGUGGAUUAUUAAAAAAAAAAAAAACAGGGGACUAUUUGAAGGAAUUAUUUUGAAAAACAUGUUCAUUUGAGCAACAUCAUAUAGCAUGCAAUUAACAAUUAAAGGCGGAAUCAUGCUUGCAUGCACUCAAAAACAAAACAUUACCAUGAAAUUCAAAGCCUAGUAGAUUGGUGAACCAAUAAUCAACUCAAAACAAAGUGAGUUGAAAUUAUUACCUUUGUAGAUUCCUCUUUGCAUAAGCAAAGGCUAAUCACCCAAAGAGAUAGGGCCUUCAUUCCUUGCUUCUUAGAUCCAUGGAUUUGGAUGGAAAAAUAGGUUUCUCCAAGUUCCCAAAAUAGGGAACCUCUAAGUCUCUUCACCAAGGUUUGAUUGUAGAAGAAAUGAGUGACCUUGGAGUAGUAGGAUUGCUAGAUGUACCCUCCAAGGUGUUGGCCUCUUUAGAGAGAAAAUGGAGAGACAAUUCUCACCCAUUUUCACCCAAAAUAAACCCUUAAUUUUUUUCCUUAAUGAAUUUUGGCUAUAAAGUCAUUUAUAUAGUCACUUCUUUAAGUAACCUAAACAACCAAAACCCUAAUUCAUCUAAUAUGGCCGGCCAUUUAGGGAUGUUUGGGCUUUUGGGCUUUAAUGAAUCUUUAUUCAUUAAAUUGUCAUACAAUUUAAGUUAAUGGGCUUGACGUUCGAAGCCCAUUGGGCCUUAAGGUCCAAAACUAUCCCGAAGUCUUUAACGAACUUAUUCGUUUGAUUAAUUAACAUAUUAAUUAAUCCUUGCCAUAAUUAAAUGAUUAAACCAUUUAAUCAUUCUUACUCAUUUCCGUUUAAUCUUCAAUCUCCACCUUUUAUGGUGUGCGAUCCAUUAGGUUCCUUUUAGCGAGGCAGUGGGCGAUUAAAACCAUUUUACAUCGAUUGUGAAUUGAACAAUUUUCAAUUGUCCCUUUAGUGAUUACACACGUUUAGGGCUUCCACAAACCAUGAGUGACACCUAGCAGCAUAUCAUGGUUACCCAAGCUAAUCAGAAGAGGAUAGAGAACCUAUUCAGUUUGGGAUUACAAAUGCAAUACGGUCCUUCUCUAAUCUAAUACUCUUGACCACAUUGUUUGGUAUGAUAGUUUAUUUACUCAUGUCUACUAUCCAAUGUGAAUCGUUUGCUUAUAUGAUUUCCUUGAAUGUGAUUUGGAACGCAUUCCCCAAUCUCAUUCAUACUCUGGCCAGAGAUUCCAAAUCAUAUCAUAGAGUAUUCUCCCUCAACUGUUUGAAGGUUAGAGAUCCCUUGUUGCGCAUUCACUUGUCUCCAUAGCUAAGUGGCUUAACCCCAACGAUGCCGUGACACCCCGAGGGGGUGAAUUAGACAUAAUCAAAGAUUAAGGACUUAACCACAAGACAACUGUGAUGCCUCAGGUCAAAGGACUACUUUGCAUUAUCCCAACCAUGAGUUCUCAUGUGACAUGGAAUAUAAGAACUCUUCGUUGAUCACGUUUAGUGAACUCAUUCUCUUAUUGAGCACCUACGUACUUGUCUUGAUGUCACACACACCAAUGACUCGAGACUAGUCACUCUCCCUGAGAGAAGACACAGUACGUACUGAUCUUAACGGACUGUCAAUGCCCAAUUGGUAAUCCUAUGAUCAGGAACAUUUAGGAUGUGUCUACGAAAGAAUGGUCUCAUUAAUCUAACUUCAUUAGAUUGCAUUCUCCCAAUCACAUAUUCCUUGGACUUUAUCGUUUAAGCAUAUAACAUUUAUAUGAGACGGCUCAAACAAUAAUCUUUACCCUUUAUAUGUUAAACUAGAUUAGUUUAACAUUUGAAAUGUCCGUAAAGUAUCAUCAUAUGAUUGGUUUUAGGGCACAUUUCCAACACUAUUGUGGGUUAUAAAAAAAAAAUAGAAUUGACAAAACGACGUUGUUUUGGAUCAAGUCAUUUAAAAAAAAAAUAAAGAAUUGUCUAAAAUGACGUCGUUUUAGACCAAGUCUUUCGAAAAAAGAAAAAAAAAUCUUUUUCUUUGUUUGUACCAUACUUAGGGCCUUCGUAUUUAGAUCUCGUAUAAAUACUCGGGGGACUUAAAUGUAAUUAUGUAAUAAAGGAAUGGGCAAAUAUGUAAUAAGUGAGGAGCCAUUAUUCUAUAAAAGAACUCCUCACCCCCACAAUUAGGGGAGGCCAUUUCUGAAGCCUUUUCACCUCUCUCACAUCCCCUCUCAUAUUCAGAGUUUCUCUCCCUCACCUCUCAGAUAAAUACAAUAUCAGUGUAGGCGUAGCCCAAACCUUGGGGUGAACCACGAUAGAUCUUAUGUUAUUUACAUUUCUUGCAGAUUCACGGUCGGAUUUACGUUGUUCCAAGACCUCCGGUUUUGUGCAUCAACAUUUGGCACCGUCUGUGGGAAACGACACGAAAAGCUCUGUCGGUUCUCUUACAUUUUUUCAUCUCACCACCGUAAAACCUCACCACUGUCCACCGUGGAUUUACAAAAACCCACACAGAGGCACAACCACGGAGAUAAUAGACGAGAAGAAGCUGUAAAGCCACCACGCUCUUAAUAGCCAAGGGAACUUGUGUGACUUACUACCUGCAUGCUCUUCGAGGUUUGUGGCUGUACCACGAUUCCCAACACGUGUCAAUUGAUGAGGGUUGAGCCCCAAGGAAAUAUCUUCCAAGCUUAAUCAGCUGCCGUUUGAUCAAAGGAAGCAUUUGAUCAACACCAUUGAUUCGCAGCCAUUUAAUCAGCUGUCGUUUGAUCAAAGCAAGCAUUUAAUCAGCUGUCGUUUGAUCAAAGCAAGCAUUUGAUUAGCACCAUUUGGUCAACAUUCGCAUCAACGAACGAAAUCCCUCAGCGAAAAUAUCCGAGAGAUCGAAAAAUGCCUGGCGUUUCUCUCUCGAGCAAGAAAACUGAGCAGCCAUCGGAAUGUUGCCGGCAGUCGAAGCCCAUGUGCCACUGCUGCAGGACAGAAAGCCGGUGAGGCGCAGGUUUGUUUCAGGGGCGGUGUUCAACGUGUCCAUGAGCAUAAUUGGUGCCGGAAUCAUGUCCAUACCGGCCACUCUCAAGGUGCUUGGUGUGAUACCGGCUUUUGUGCUUAUUGUGAUCAUUGCUUUGUUGGCCGACGUCUCGGUGGAGUUCCUGAUGAGGUUCACGCAUUCCGACGAGUCCACGAUGUAUUCCGGCGUUAUGAGGGAGUCCUUUGGGCAGGUGGGAUCGGUUGCCACAGAUAUGUGUCAUGAUUACUAAUCUUGGGUGCUUAAUUAUGUACCAGAUUAUAAUUGGGGAUGUUCUAUCUGGAAAUGGGGCUGUCGGAGUAAGGCAUUCCGGUGUUCUGCAAGAGUGGUUUGGAGUCUAUUGGUGGAACUCACGUGAAAUUGCCCUCCUAUUCACGUUUAUUUUCAUCUUUCUGCCAUUGGUUUUGUUAAGAGUCUCUGAGGUUCAGUUCAGCCAUAUCAGUUUUUCUUGCUGUGGUUUUUGUUGGCAUAAGUUCUGCCAUGGCGAUCUAUGCAAUCUUUGAAGGGAAAGUCAACACCCCAAGAUUGUUACCAAGCUCGGGCAAACAAACCUCCUUCUUUGACUUUUUCACUGUUGUUCCAGUCCUUGUUACAGCCUUCACUUUUCACUUCAACGUUCACCCAAUUGGCUUUGAGCUUGGUAAGCCGUCUGAUAUGAUAUCAACGGUCAGGAUUUCAUUGGUGCUCUAUGCAGCCAUCUACUUCUCCAUUGGACUGUUUGGGUACCUUUUGUUUGGGGAUGCAAUCGUGGUUGACAUACUUGUGAAUUUUGAUAGAAGCUCAGAUUCAGCAAUGGGGGCAGUGCUGAAUGAUGCGGUCAGAUUAAGCUAUGCCCUCUAUCUGAUGUUGGUUUUUCCUCUCUUAAACUUUUCUCUGAGGGUAAAUUUGGAUGAAUUGUGCAUCAACAUUUCUGCUCAGGGCUUGGUACAAUUCUGGGCCCUCAAAAGAUGCAAAUUGGAGCGUCUGACAAAGUACAAAGGAUAGUGUGCGCCAUACUUGAAGCUACUUUUGCUUUUGUAGACCACCCACAUGGAAGUUUGCUGUAAAACAGAUACGCAAAUCUGUAAAAGAAAGGGAUAAAUGGAGCAACUGACCAAACCCCAUGAUCUAAAUCUGCAAUGGAAAGAAAAUGAAUAUAAAAAAGAAAAAGAUGUCUGGAGAGAAAAACAAAAAAGGUGUCGACCACUUAAAGAAAAUAAAGAACUCUAUUAUCUUUAUCAGACAAAACGAUGUAAUUUAUUUUUCUUAUUUCUCGAAGACAUCUGUGUAAACCCUAUCAGAGGGUAAUAAAAAAAAAAAAGGGCAAAGCCCAAAAUAAAUGGGCUGGAAUGUUGUGUGGAGAGCGAAGGCCCAUAAGCCCAAAAUAGCACCAACCAGAUGAUCAAAAAGUACACCCAGUACUCCAAAAUUAUUCGGCAACCUGCCACUAUUAUCACCAACCAGGUGAUCAAAAGUACGCCAAGUACUCUAAAAUUAUUCGGCAACCUGCCGCUAUUACCGCUAACCAGGUGAUCAAAAGUACGUCCAGUACUUCAAAAUUAUACAUGAGCACUACUCAUGUCAAUCAUACAUAAAUAUUCAUGAGCAUCACUCAUAUCAAUCAUACAUAAACAUUCAUGAGCAUCACUCAUGUCAACAUUCAUGAGCAUCACUCAUGUCAACAUUCAUGAGCAUCACUCAUGACAACAUCCAUAAGCAUCACUCAUGUCAAUCAACAUAAACAUUCAUGAGCAUCACUCAUGUCAAUCAACAUCAAAAGCUUCAUUUACAAAAGCUCUAGCUUCAAAAGCUUCAUUUACAGAGCUCCAACUUCAAAAGCUUCAUUUACAAAAGCUCUAGCUUUAAAAACUUCAUUUACAAAAGCUCUAGCUUCAAAAGCUUCAUUUACAGAGCUACAGCUUCAAAAGCUUCAUUUACAAAAGCUCUAGCUUCAAAAGCUUCAUUUACAAAAGCUCUAGCUUCAAAAGCUUCAUUUACAGAGUUACAGCUUCAAAAGCUUCAUUUACAAAAGCUCUAACUUCGAAAGCUUUCAUUUACAGAGCUCUAGCUUCAAAGCUUCACUUGCAAAGCUUCACCUACAAAGCUUCAGUGCAGGGUAUACAAAUACCGCCUCCGAACAACCACCACUUAGGCCCAUACAUGGAUUCAAUUUGAAGUCUCCAGCCAACAGACUCUAUUGACCAAAGACUUGAGGGACUACAUAAUGUACCAUAUAUUGGGCCUCAACUGGGCCUCAUGAAAAAUACUUGGGGGACUUAGCCCAUUAUUCAUGUACUGAGGAGUGAGCCCUUAUUUUAUAAAAGGGACUCCCUUACUUUCAUUAGAGAGCAUCAACUCUAGCCCAUUAUUCAUGUAUUGAAGAGCGAGCCCUUAUUCUAUAAAAGGGACUCCCUCACCAUCAUUAGAGAGCACCCUCACCAUCAUUAGAGAGCAUCGCCGCCUACUGAACAACCGCCUCGCCACGAGCAUCGAUUCUAGCCCAUCAUGUAUGUAUUGAGGAGCGAUCCCUUAAUUUAUAAAAGGGACUCACUCACCUUCAACGCCAUAAGUCGAGUCAACCAAGGCAACAUAAGCCACAAGCAGAGCAGCCUCGCAACAUGUGCUACUUCUAGUUGAGCAUCAUUUUAGAUUGAGCACUGCCUCAUAUCGAGUAUCAGUCCUAGACGACAUCUAGUUACUUCAGCCCACACAUGGAUUGAAUUUCAAGUCUCAAGCCAAAAGACUCUCUUGACUGAAGACUUAGGGGACUACUGUUUGUACCAUACUUAGACCAUCUCCAACCCUGACCUAAAACCUAAAAAUAUUUAGCCCAGAAAAUUUAGGUUUUAGCCCAGAAACAGCUUUUCUACUCCAACCCUUUUGGCCUAAAAUUUGAGCCCCAGAUUAUCAAAAAAUGAAUUAAGGCUAAUUUUUUUUUAAAUUAACUUUUAAAAAAAAAUUAUGUAGACUAUCCUAAAUUAAUUUUAUGAACAUUUUAACCUAAAAAUAUUUAAAUUCCGAUAAAUUUUGAAAAAUCACUAAAUCAAUACAUGAAAAUCAUGAUAAACCACAUAAACUUAAAAAAAAAGACAAUUAAUAAACCACAUAAACUUAAAAAAAAAAGACAAUUAAUAAACCACAUAAACUUAAAAAAAAAAGACAAUUAAUACAAUCGAAAACUCAUAGACUACAUAAACCUAAUAAUGAUAUCCAUCAUCUUGACUUGGUGGUGGACUUGGGUGAUAGUCUUGAGAUGAAUCAUCAUCUUGAAAUAUACUUCUUGUGGCAUUCCUUCGUAAAAUUUAUUUUGGCUUACCACGUAAGUAUCUCUUCCUCUCUGUAGUGUAUUUAUCGAGGUCCUCUAUUAUCAAAUUAGUUUCGUACCUUUCUUGCUCCCUAUCCCCUUCUUGUUUCAUGGCCAAAAACAUUUGGGCCGAUUCUUCUUGCCGACGACACUGGUUUUCGUUCAUUCUUGCCAUUUCGCUAACAAAUUGUGAAUGUAUCGGAUCUUGGGACUUCCCUUUUCUCUUUGCUUCCUUUUGCUUAUCUCUACCCGAGGGCCUUGGCAAAGAAGAAGUUGGGCUUAUUUGGUCGAUACCUUCAUUGUCGGCAAAAUUCACACCUUCAUUGACAUCAUUUGGGGGUGGGGCUUCAUUGUGAAAUAAUCUUCCACAUUGUUGAUUUGCAUCGGUUCUCCACCUCGGACAAUCCUUGAGGAUGUUCCAAGCAUGAUGUAACUUAAAAGCUUGAUUUUUUGGUGUAGUUCUUGUCUUGUAAAUUGCCAUUGCUUUGUCACCCUAUGCAACAAAUACAUAAAAAUAAUUAGUUGCAAAAUACUAUUAUGUACAUGACAAGUAAAAUAUCAACAAAGAAACUCACAAUUUCUGAGGCGCCCCUUCCACUAGGCAUGUCAAUCAUGGCUCUCUCCAAGCUUCCCUUCCACAAAGUGCACGCUUUGUUGAUAAUCUUCCACCGAUCAUAAACACCACCAACUUCCCUUCGACCGGCGUUGGAGUUUUCAUGGAACUUAUCAACGAUUUUACCCCACAAAUCCUUUCUAUUUUGAUUGGUGCCGACGGCACCAUCUUCACUAACAGAAAUCCAUGCCAAACAUAAAGCAAUAUCUUCAUCAAAGGUCCAAUUACGACCUCUAACAUGCUCUUUUGCCAUCUUGAAAAUUUUGGAAAUGAGAAGAAAUGGUAGGAAAAAAAAAAUUGGAAGAAUUGUAGGAGAAAAGUGAGUUUUGUGUGGAUGUUUGAACAAAUACAUAGGUAUUUAUAGAGUUUUUGGUUGAAUUUUAAGUUAAAUAAAUUUUUUUAAUUAUUUUAGCCGUUGGAUUUAAAUUUGGACCGUUAGAUUUGAUUAUAUUCGAUCUAAGCCGUUGAAUUCAAUAAAUAUAUAAAUAUAAAACUAAAAAAAAAAAAAUUGAACCAGGACCGUUGGAUUAACCAACGGCCCAUUUAAACAUAGCCGUUAGAUUACAAAAAGUAGCCGUUGGGCUACUUAUUGAACAGACAGCUCCUGACAGCCAGGGGAACACCCCCACGUGGGACUGUUCUGUUUCUGAAAAUGCCUAGCGCGUGAAGCGCGUAGGCGAGUAGGGAAAUGGAACUGGGCUUCACAGCCCCAGUCUCAGUUGAUGGGGCCCAUUUUGCUUUGUGGCCUAAAACUGGGCUGGUAUUUGACCCUCAAAUGAGUUUUAGGUUUUAGGUUAAUUUUGAGUCAUGGGUUGGAGUGGAUUUUGGGGAGAAAAAAAGGGGAAAUUUUAGGUUAAAGGUCAGGGUUGGAGAUGGUCUUAGGGCAUCUGUAUUUAGAUCUCGUAUAAAUACUCGGGGGACUUAAAUGUAAUUAUGUAAUAAAGGAAGGGGCAAAUAUGUAAUAAGUGAGGAGCUCUUAUUCUAUAAAAUGACUUCUCACCCUCACAAUUAGGGGAUGCCAUUUCUGAAGCCUUCUCACCCCUCUCACAUCCCCUCUCAUAUUCAGAGUUUCUCUCCCUCAUCUCUCAGAUAAAUACAAUAUCAGUGUGGACGUAGCCCAAACCUUGGGAUGAACCACGAUACAUCUUGUGUUAUUUACAUUUUUUGCAGAUUCACGGUCGGAUUUACGUUGUUCCAAAACCUCUGGUUUUGUGCAUCAACAUUCUUUAUGGUCAUCUUCUUCCUGAAGAUGCUGUCGCACUGUAACAGUUAACUAGAAGACAUAGCCCUUCGACUUCAAUUUCAGAUCGUUGAUGGAUCUAGGAACGCCUAGUCGAUCGUCUAGGCAAGCUUUCGCCUACUCCCACUGGGCAAAUGUGUUAUCACUCAUGCCCCGCUUCCAAAGCCGCCUAGGCACGCCUCAUAUGUUUUUUAUUAUUUUUUUUGAAAAAUGAUAUUAUCUACAUGAGCUUGGGAAUGAGCUUAACCUUACAAUGAGCUAUAAAAAAAUGUGGUUCAAUUUUGUCUUUGGCGAGAAUCGAACCUAAAAACUCUGACUUACAAGAAAAGAAGAAUACCACUAAACUGUAGUAUUAAGUGGCCACUUGAUGCCAGCAAUUACAUAUAGAUCUUUAGAAGAGUGGUAUGGAGCCGCAUUUCAUUAUUAACGUACAAUAAAAAGCUUAAAACAUGCACAACAAAAACCAUACAACAGUUCAUAAACAGUUUGACGUGCUCAAGCAAUUACAUUCUAGACAAGGGAAUCAAUUGAAACAAAAGCUUCAGUUCCAUCACUUCACGCGGAUUUAACGGUAAAUGAACAAAACAUAGAUGCAAAACAUGGAAAAUGACAGAUUUUGGUCUAAAAAUAUCAGACGAGAUGAAUCAUCAGUUGAAGAUAUUUUCAUCUUUAGAGAGAGGAGCUCAAGAUAUUUCAAAAUAUCACAAGAGCUAGCUCAAGAUAUUUUAGUCGCAUAAGAAUAUCCAGCCAAGAUUCAUGCAUGAAUGCUUGCGGCUUCAAGUGUGUUAAGCAUACUAAAAUAUUUAUAAUCUAUCCAAAUCUUAUGACUAAUAUACCCUUGAAAGUUGUUCCGUAAGUCAAGGCCAAAUCUUAUGACUAAUGAAAAAAAUGUUUGAAAACUUUGAAUUUUAACGAUAAGGAUAAAAUAAAGGGAACUUUAACGAAAACCACCCGGUACUGUUCACUUUAACAAAAAACCACAUUUUUACACUAAAAAGUCAAUCCUGGUACUAUUCACUUUACCUUUUAUUUUGUCCUUAUCAUUAAAACUCAAAGUUUUCAAGCCAUUUUCAUUAGUUUUCUUUAAAAUAAAGGGUAAAGUGAAAAGUAUUAUGAUUGACUUUUUAGUGUAAAAAUAUGAUUUUUUGUUAAAAUGAACAGUACCGAUAAUUUUUCGUUAAAAUUACCAUUUUUUAAUUAAUUUUAAAAUUUCCACAUGCACUACAAUUUAAGAGAAAACUGUAGCAAUGAUCCCUUAACUUUAACGCAAUUGAAGCGUUGGUCCUUUAACUCAUCAAAAUGUGCAGCUAUGGUCAUUUUCGCCAACUUUGUCAUAACCUCUGUUAAAAUGACUCGUGGUUGAAGAAUCAUUACUAAGAUUAGGUUAAAGUUGAGAGACUAUUUCUUUAAUUAGGUUAAAGUUGAGGAACCACUGCUAUUGGAUUAAAGUAAAGAACAAUUUUCACUUUUGUUAUCUAUAUUUCUCCCUUAAUUUAGCUUCACGUACAUGGCACGUAACUCAUUUUGACAGAUGUUCUGAUGAAGUUGAUAAAAAAUAUCAUAAAUGCACGUUUUUAUGAGUUAAAGACCAAUGAUUGUGAAAUUUUAGUUAAAAAAUCAUUAUUUCAAUUCAAUCAACGUUGAUAGACCAUUACUACAAUUUACUUCAAAUUUAAACGCCAAAGUUCCCUGUAACCAAAAAGGAAAGGAAAUUCACAUUUUCCUGGAAAUUGCAACUUGUAAGAAUGGAAGAGGUGUAACCACGUAUAGAGAAAACAACUGAAAAAAAGUGAGCUGAGUCAGACCAACAAAUAAAAUGAAAUAUGAGCUGAGCUGCUUUUGAUCACUUGCACUUUUUCUCUUUUCAACUGGAUCCCACCAAACCGACCAUUCCUCAAGAGGGAAUUUAUUUUUAUAAUUAAGGACGCAACCCCUUCAUGCAUUCUCAUCACUUUUUCUCUCUUCCCUUCCCUUCCAUUCAAACCCCAAAACACGCUUCAGAAAAUACAAUGACGUUAACUCUCCGUUCUUCAACUUCCUUCGUCAAUCUUAAAGACCAUAAGGGCCUUAAAAACUCCGGAGACUCCCCCGGCACGAUAUGCUUUGCACAAACCAAGCCAUCAUGCCGUCUACGGGCAAAGAGUUCAAUGCAAGAAACACGGCUCUUGCACGAGAAGAACUUAAUGACCAUCUCUGAUGGAAGGAGAGAGUUGCUUCAUGCACUACCCAAUAUUGCUCACACCAGCACUGACAACAAGGUGCCUGUGUACGUGAUGCUUCCGCUCGACACGGUGAGUCACGUAGGGCAUUUGAAUAAGCAUGAAUGCGAGUUUGAUGGCCCUGAAGCAAGCAGGGGUGGAAGGAGUUAUGGUGGAUGUGUGGUGGGGAUUGGUGGAGGAGGACGGACCUUCCAAGUACAACUGGGAAGGGUAUGCCGAGCUUGUGCAGAUGGUGCAAAAGCACGGCAUGAAGAUCCAAGUCGUCAUGUCUUUUCAUCAGUGCGGAGGAAAUGUUGGAGACUCAUGCA
rnacentral:lncRNA from 1 species